rnacentral:pre_miRNA from 15 species
GGACGUGGAUGUGGCGCGGGGCCCAGGCCGGGAUAUCAUCGUAUACUGUAAGUUUGCAAUGAGACACUACAGUAUAGAUGAUGUACUGGCGAGGGCCGCCUCAGCUCCAGAGCCCAG